ensembl:misc_RNA Metazoa_SRP Metazoan signal recognition particle RNA
GCCGGGCGUGGUGGCGAGCGCCUGUAGUCCCAGUUACUCUGGAGGCUGAGGCGGGAGAAUCGCUUGAAUUCAGGAGGCAGAGGUUGCAGUGAGCCGAGAUCGCACCACUGCACUGCAGCCUGGAUGACAAAGCGAGACUCUGUCUCAA